AUCUACAGCCAUACCACCCUGAACACACCCAAUCUCAUCAGAUCUCGGAAGCAAAGCAGGGUCAGGCCUGGUUAGUACUUGGAUGGGAGACCGCCUGGGAAUAUUGGGUGCCAUAGGCA
rnacentral:rRNA from 1 species